GCCGCGACCGCCGGGGAGCGGCUCCGGGAGCGGCUCCGGCAGCGCCGGGAAUUCCGGCAGCGGCCCAGCCCGGGAGCGGCCCAGCCCGGGAGCGCGGCGGAGGAACCGCCGCCCUAGCGCAGCCCCGCGCCGGCCGCCGCAGCCCCGAGCGGCUGCGCCCCAGCUCCAUGAAUGGAAAUCGGCAGCGCAGGACCCGUGGGGGCACAGCCCCUGCUCAUGGUGCCCAGACGUCCCGGCUAUGGCACCAUGGGCAAGCCCAUUAAACUGCUGGCCAACUGCUUCCAAGUUGAAAUCCCAAAGAUUGAUGUCUACCUCUAUGAGGUGGACAUCAAACCAGAUAAGUGUCCUCGGAGGGUGAACAGGGACGUGGUGGACUCUAUGGUGCAGCAUUUUAAAGUGACAAUAUUUGGGGACCGUAGACCAGUUUAUGAUGGGAAAAGAAGCCUCUAUACAGCCAAUCCACUUCCUGUGGCCACUACUGGGGUGGAUUUGGAUGUGACACUACCUGGAGAAGGUGGAAAAGAUCGUCCCUUCAAAGUGUCAAUAAAGUUUGUUUCUCGGGUGAGCUGGCACUUGCUGCAUGAAGUUUUGACAGGAAGAACCUUGCCUGAGCCUCUGGAACUAGACAAACCUAUCAGCACUAACCCUGUUCAUGCUGUCGAUGUGGUGCUACGACACCUCCCCUCCAUGAAGUACACCCCUGUGGGCCGUUCCUUCUUCUCAGCUCCAGAAGGCUAUGACCACCCCCUGGGAGGGGGCAGGGAGGUCUGGUUUGGGUUCCAUCAGUCUGUCCGACCUGCCAUGUGGAAAAUGAUGCUCAACAUCGAUGUUUCUGCCACUGCCUUCUACAAAGCACAACCCGUAAUUCAGUUCAUGUGUGAAGUCCUUGACAUUCAUAAUAUUGAUGAACAACCAAGACCUCUGACUGAUUCUCAUCGGGUAAAAUUCACCAAAGAGAUAAAGGGUCUGAAGGUAGAAGUGACUCACUGUGGGACAAUGAGAAGGAAGUACCGUGUCUGUAACGUCACGAGACGGCCUGCAAGUCAUCAAACCUUUCCUUUACAGCUAGAAAAUGGCCAGACUGUGGAGAGGACAGUAGCACAGUAUUUCAGAGAGAAAUACAACCUCCAGCUGAAAUACCCUCACCUUCCUUGUCUGCAAGUGGGACAGGAACAAAAACACACCUACCUGCCUUUAGAAGUGUGUAACAUCGUGGCUGGCCAGAGGUGCAUCAAGAAGCUCACAGACAAUCAGACCUCGACCAUGAUAAAAGCAACAGCCAGGUCUGCCCCAGACAGGCAGGAGGAGAUCAGCAGACUGGUGAGAAGUGCAAAUUACGAUGCAGAUCCGUUUGUCCAAGAGUUCCAGUUCAAAGUGCGGGAUGAGAUGGCCCACGUGACAGGACGUGUGCUCCCGGCCCCCAUGCUGCAGUACGGAGGACGGAACCGAACCGUGGCAACACCAAGCCAUGGCGUGUGGGACAUGAGAGGGAAACAGUUCCACACUGGGGUGGAGAUCAAGAUGUGGGCCAUAGCUUGCUUUGCAACACAGAGACAGUGCAGAGAAGAAAUUCUGAAGGGUUUCACGGACCAGCUGCGCAAGAUCUCCAAGGACGCCGGGAUGCCGAUCCAGGGCCAGCCCUGCUUCUGCAAGUACGCCCAGGGUGCAGACAGCGUGGAGCCCAUGUUCCGACACCUCAAGAACACCUAUUCAGGGCUUCAGCUCAUCAUUGUCAUCCUGCCAGGGAAGACACCUGUGUACGCGGAGGUGAAGCGUGUGGGAGAUACACUGUUGGGAAUGGCCACACAGUGUGUUCAGGUCAAGAACGUCAUUAAAACAUCUCCACAGACCCUCUCAAAUCUGUGCCUGAAGAUUAAUGUUAAGCUAGGAGGAAUCAACAACAUCCUUGUACCUCAUCAACGACCUUCUGUGUUCCAGCAGCCAGUGAUCUUUUUGGGAGCUGAUGUCACUCACCCUCCAGCUGGAGAUGGAAAGAAGCCUUCCAUUGCUGCUGUUGUAGGCAGCAUGGAUGCUCAUCCCAGCCGGUACUGUGCCACGGUGAGGGUCCAGCGGCCCCGGCAGGAGAUCAUCCAGGACCUGGCCUCCAUGGUCAGGGAGCUGCUCAUCCAGUUCUACAAAUCAACACGCUUCAAGCCCACCCGUAUCAUCUUCUACAGGGACGGGGUCUCUGAGGGACAGUUCCGACAGGUUUUGUAUUAUGAGCUGCUGGCCAUUAGAGAAGCCUGCAUCAGUUUGGAGAAGGAUUACCAGCCUGGAAUAACCUACAUUGUGGUGCAGAAGCGACAUCAUACGCGGCUGUUCUGUGCUGACAGAACAGAAAGGGUUGGACGAAGUGGCAAUAUUCCAGCUGGGACAACUGUAGAUACAGACAUUACACACCCCUACGAGUUCGAUUUUUACCUCUGUAGCCAUGCUGGAAUACAGGGAACCAGCCGUCCCUCCCACUACCACGUGCUGUGGGAUGACAACUGCUUCACGGCGGACGAGCUGCAGCUGCUGACGUACCAGCUGUGCCACACGUACGUGCGCUGCACCCGCUCCGUCUCCAUCCCGGCCCCGGCCUACUACGCUCACCUGGUGGCAUUCAGAGCACGCUACCACCUCGUGGACAAGGAACACGACAGUGCUGAAGGGAGCCACGUGUCAGGACAGAGCAACGGGCGAGACCCGCAGGCGCUGGCGAAGGCUGUACAGAUUCACCAAGACACCUUACGCACGAUGUACUUCGCUUAAGUCGAUGACCCGGAGACACUCACCGAGAGGAGAACUGAGAACUUAAGCCACAUACAAUGUACUUUCAGGCAUCAGCUUCUCUGAGUCAGGACCAAGAAUAACCAGGAAGGUGUUUUCCUUUGGAGGGAGAGGCAUUGAGGAGCGAUCACCAAAUUCAGCUGGUAGGCUGGGGUUAGGUUGGGUUUGAUCAAUGUGAUUUCCCUCUUCAUAUUGAGGGGACUGGGGGUUGGGGUGUGGGAGAAGCCAUGGGGACGUGAUUGGUGCUGAAAGGAAUCCGUGGCUCCCGAAGGAUGUCUUCUCUUAGGGGAAGCGCGUUCCCAAAGAUGGAGACAAACUGCAGGGUGUCUUAGGAGGCUGGGAGAUGGUUGGUCCUCACGUGGCUCGUGUGUGUUUGGGAUGGAUCAGCGGGUUUUCUGACUGCCAGCUGGGAGCUGGGAGCUCUGCACGGGAGCAGCUUGGUGGCUGGGUGAUGCCACGAGGGGGGUGGGUCCCUGGUGAGUUUGGUGAGCGUUCCUGCAGUCAGGAAAAGCUGUAGACUAGACUAUUAAACACUGCACCUCAGUAACCUUGUAAUGCUGCAUAAAGUAAUAAUAAUAGCAAAGUUGUGCUUUGACACUGUAAUGUGCUUGCACAUGCCUGCAAAAAACACUUCCCUUUCCUUUGGUAUCGGUCUGAGUAGCAGUUAAGGGACUUUUCUUUUAUGAUGAGCCUUGUCCUUUGUUGUGGUGUUUCUGUAUAUUUAUUGGUGGUCUGUGUGCAGCUCAUAGGUCUGUGUGUCUGCUCUGUGUGUUGCUUUUAACACUUAUUUUUAGGCAGGAGAAGUUUCUGAAUGUUUUGGUUUUCUUCUCCAAAGAAAGUUGGCUUAACCAGUCGUGUUUGAGAGGAGACAAUUAACCCCCUUGCCAUAGACAAGUGCUUCGUUAGUACCUUGUUUCUCUAUAACUAAAAUGAUUUUGUGCAUUUUAUUACUGUUUAUAGUGUUGGGCAUUCAAGAUGUGGAAUAACUUGAUGUCAGGAUAUUUUUGAAUAUCAGGAGCUUAACCACAGAACUCACUGAAUAAUUCCAAGUGAUCUCUUUGCAGGAAUAUGUUCAUGUCCAGACUUUUUCUAGGAGUAAGCAGAGCUUCUGGACAUCAUCAAUGAAAUACGUGGGGUUCAGAGUGCCAGCAUUGGGCAGUGCCCUUGCUGAGUUGCCCACAUCUCGUUGUUGAGGGGAUGCUGCAGCUCCCCAGGCACAAGCUGACUCUCUUUGCUCUGCAAUUUCUUCUGAUUCAAGUUCGAGACAUGAUCCAGUGUCUCUCGUAGCUUGUACCAACUUUCUUGUCUAAUUGCAGUGCCCAAUGCCACUGUGUUGGUAUUAAGCUUGCCAUGAUGUUCAAUUAUUUUAUAUUUCCAAUUUCUCAAUGUUACUAGGCUGGGGUUUAGAAAGCAUUUUUCAUUCUAAAUUCUGAGCCAAAAAUGUGUCUCCUGACCCUUUUAGUAGUAGCUGUUUCUAUCUUUUAGACUAAAAAGGGCCAAAAAUCUUGCACCAUCAGCUUGUUUGCAGCAAUACCCUCCAUCUCCUCCCCUGCCUGUCAACCAACUGCUUUGUUUCUCUCUGUAUUUAGCUGAUAUGGAACCUAUUGAGAUUUAGAAGGAAGUUGCUGCCUCUUUUUUUCUAUCAAAAGGAAUGAACUUGCACCUGACAAAGCAGUUUUCUGUUGGACACAAAUCUCUUGCCUUGGUGUCCAUGAGCUGCCACAUGCGACGUUUAAUUCCAGCAGAAAUGUUUCUGUUGCAGUCAUUGGAGGGUGCAUGAUGGUUUAAAGUAUCCAAAUUAAAUAAGAGCUAACAAACUACUGAAAAUAGACAUUAUUAAAAUACUUAAAAAAAAAAAAAAAAAAAAGCAAACCAAAACUUGACAAGGAGCAGCUGCAGGUGGACAGGGAGGACCUCCUCCAGGAGAUGGAGAACCUGUGGGGCAUCAAGAUCCUGUGGCUGUUGGAAUAGCUCAACAAGGGAAAGAAAAAAAGGUUGGAAGAGGCAGAAAGGGCAGACUCAAAGUAACAGAGUGCUGUAGGAGUUACUCAAACUCCUUUAAAAAUUACCAAGUGGGAACAUCAAAACAGAAUAUUGACGCUAAUGAAGAAGCAGCAGAGCCUCGUUUGCCUCCUGUAGUAAAUAAAAAAGCAAAACUUGACAGCUGGUGUUUUCCUUCAGUACCUUCCAGUACUAGAAAAGGCCUGUAAGAACGAUGGGGGUGAACUUUUAAGAGGGCUUGUUGCCACAAGAUUUGGAGUGAUGGUUUUAAACUGAGGGAGGUCGGUUCAAAUUAGAUUUAAGGAAUUUUUUACAGUGUGUGUGAUGAAACACUGGCACAGGUUGCACAGAGAAGCUGUGGCUGCCCCAUCCCUGAAAACAUCCAAGGAUGGGGCUUGGAGCAAUCUGAUCUAGAGAUCCCAGGUCACAGCAGGGGGGUUUGUCUGGAUGAGCUUUAAAAGAUCCCUUCCAACCCAGACUACUCUGUUGUUCUGUGACUGCUAAUUCAGAAACUAAUGUAUGAGGGGAAAAGCAUGUUCCUGUAUAUUUUUAGGGGUGGCUGUUCUUCUCAGGACUGUGCUGCGAGCAGGUGGCAGUGCCUGUGACAGCUGCCCCCUGAAAUCGAGCUGUGGUUUUAUCCAAACCUUGGAAUCCCUCACUUGGGUGAAACACAUGCAGCUUCCAGUGGCUCUGCUGGUUCAGACAGCACCAGCCCAAGGGGUUUUGUGAGCAAUAUGCAGCCCUUCUGUACAACACAGAUGCCCUGAGAGAUUCCUGGUUGCCUGGAGGUGUGCCUGGCUCCCAGAAGAGCAGCAGGCAGGUGUAGAGGUCAAUUUGCUGUAGCACUGCAGUUGCUCUGCUCUUCCUCAGCUCUCACCUACCUCCCCAUUCCCUGAGCAGGGUCUCUCUCCCUCCACUGCCUGUAUGGAAUUAGCCAUGUUGAGGAUGCUGUGGCUGCGUGGAGCACAGAUCAGCUCUGGAUGUGAGGGUGGGGGUGUGGGAUGGUGACAAAAGCCUGUAGAAACAAUGGACUGGGUAGGUGUCAGGUGAGCUGUGACUAGCUCACACCUUUCAGGAACAUCAGACGUGAGCUUGGGUAUCCUGAACUGUUUGUGUUGGACUUGAACUCACUGAGAGCAAGUAUGUGCCUUUUUCUGACCAGGAACAGAGCUGGAAAAACUAGUAUUUGCAUUGGUAGGAUGGUUAGUAUUUUUCUUGAACUGUUUUUAAAGCUCAAAAUCCUUGGUCAGAGUUGGUUUUGUGUUGAAUUACUUUAAAUCAAAGUGAGCCCUGAAUUAGAACUACCCAGAGAUGAGAAGCUUUUAAAAUAAGUGGUUUCUGGAGAGUAAUGUCAUCAAAUAAACCUACUUCCUGGUAGACUUGCAAUUUUUUAAAAUAAAAUUUAACCUUGAUACGCUUAUCUAAUGAGAAUCAUUAAUUCUGCCUUUAUUUGAAUGUUGCCUGUCCAGUGAUGUCCUCGCUCUUUACUGUGCUCCUGCAGGUUUCCAUACACUCCAUUGCCUCUCCCCUCUCUGCCCAUUUGGAGGCUGCAGGGACAUGGGCAAUGUUGUCCAGUGAAUGUCGGGGAGCAGUGCAAAGCUCUGACUCAGUGGGGGUGUGGAGGUGAGGAUUAAACGUCACAGAUGAGUUCAGAAAGACGUUUGCCAGCAGCGGGGGUGGCGAUGUCUGGGGACAGAAUCGCGUGGUCACUUGGGUGUGGGAAGAGGAACAAUCCCCCAUCCUCUGGCACCAGGCCCCCAUUGUAGACACUGCACUGGGCAGAAGUAAGCACAUGUGUGCUUAGAUGCCAGUUUGGGCUUUAAGCUGCUAAAAAAAGUGGGUUUUCAGACCAAGAUGGAAGAGGUUUUCCAACAGGUUCUAUUUGAAGCAGUUUUGAGACAUUGGCAAGCUGUCCAGCCAGGAGCUUUGGAACCUGCUGGCUCCGAAGCAGGUUCCCUUUCUGACCCGGGGGAAAUGAUUCUGCCUCGUUUUUAAUCUAGAAAAUGUUUGUGAUGAUUCACAUCGCCUUAUGAGAGCGAGUUACUGGGUGAUCUGAGGGUGAGCCAUGUCGUGACAGUGGUAACCUUGUGACACAAACUCGAGCAAUUCUUGCACGUUUGCAUCUCCCAGUGAAUCCGGUUGUUUGGAGCCCAUCCCUGCUGGGAGCUCUUCCCUCCCAUCCCAUCGCAGCUCUGCCUGAGGCUGAAGCCCCUCGGGGUCAGUCCUGUGUUUGCCAUCUUGCUUUCUUUAACCCACUUGUUGUAAAACAGAUGCUCGGAGGGCAAGUUUAUUUAAAUGAAAGGGUGGUUUUUUUUUUUUCAUUGCUGAGAAUUACACAGGUCUUUCAAACGCAUUUGGCAGUUGGAAAAUUAAUGCUAUAACUCUUAUCUAGCAACACAAAAAUAUGGCUGUAUGUUGAGUUUAGGGGCAUGCUUGCCCAUAAAUCAUAGAUCCACAACCCAUUUCAGUACAGGUGUGCAAAACUUAGCUUUCACAAUAGUUACUAAUAAACUUUCAUUUUGCUUACACUUGCAAAUCUCUUAAAUAUCUUCAAAACCAGUUUCUUUGAUAGAAAAUACAUGUCUUGGUAGGUAGUGUCCACUCAGAUGUAAUAGCAAAGUGGUGCCCACUGGAGCAAUGCUGAAUUUAAAGAACUUUUGGAGGUUUUGGAACCUGGUGGUGUGCCAGCAAAGUGAAAACUUGAGUAUUGCUCCUGAAGUAGUGAGGAUAAUUGAACACCAACAAAACUUGGUGAGAGGAAGAAUGCCAGAGAUGGAGUUUGGUUUCUGGCAACUUUGCAGUGCAGAAUGGCUUCUUCUGGGUACUUGCUUUUGUGCAUCACUUCUCUCCUGUGGCUGUAGUGUUUACUUUCUUUUUCGAACUUGAUUUCUGUUUUUCAGUGAAAUCUCAUUUUUGCAGUUUUCAGUGUUGAAUCUCUCCUUGAGCUACACAUUGUUUUCCUGUAGAAAAAAACCCGCUUCUAGCUCAUUGUGUUUGGUGUCUGUUUGCAGGCAGGUGUGAAAAGUGAGCUGCAGCACAGCAGUGGGGCGGGCAGAGCGAGUUUUGGGUCAGAAAUGUUGGUUUUACAGGCACUGGUGUACAGAUCAGCGUUCCAGGGGAGCAGUGACACUUUGAGCUCCCAGGGGACAGACCCUCCUUCCUGUUGUUCUUGUCUCUUCCCUUGGUAUAAGCAGUUCAGCUCCCCAAGUAGCCUCAUGGUGGGGAAAAAGUGGGCUGUUCACCUGGCUGGAGGUGUAUGAUCAUGGACAAGGACAUAGUCAGCAGGUGUUACUCCAGAGCUUUCACAGUAAUUGGUAGCAUUUAGUUACGAGCUAAUAUUAAAGGAUUUUCAGAAGAAAAAAUCAGGUGGCAUUGUGUGUGCUCACUGGCCAGUGAGCUGUGUUAGUUUUGGAGACUGCUGGAAGCAAUGUCACACAUAGAAAUUUUGUGUAUUUAAUACCAAGGGUUUAAAUUGUUCAAAAAAAGAAAAAGUCGUGCUGUUUGGGAUUCCUUUUCUGAAUAAAUUUCUAAUAAACCAGUCUGGUGGAUUGAUCCUGUCCCAUGUGUCUGCUCUUUCUCAAAUGCUGGUAACUGCUCCUCUGGUUUGGUGUCCCAUUGCUUCGGCAGGAGCGUGAAUGUGUUCCCACCGUAAAGGUCCUGGGGGCUUUCGAAGCAAAAGGGAAAUGUUUCAAGAGUAAAGCAGAGCUGUGACUUGAGACGUUGCACAAAUAGAUUGUAGAUGGAUGGCAAACAAACUGGUAAAAGCCUUUAUUUUUACUUAACCAUCUUGACCAUGUGUGCCUCUUUGUACCGUGGGCUGCAGCCGUGCGGGGUGGGAGGGAACGUGUCGGUGUUUGAGAUGUACUUGCUAAGCAGAAGCCGUGUCCUCUGCCCCUUCUCCCUUUCCGGACAAAUUGUUCUUGCCAAAAUUUUCUACCUGUUGCAAGAGUUGCUUUCCUUCCAGCACAGUAAAAUGUCGACUUCUUUCACUGUUCCUUCCCUCUCGUAGGCAUCUGUAACCUCUGUACGACUGUGUAUAGGACACAGCAGUCAUCGAUCUCUGCUGGCUAUAGAUACCAUCAACUUGAGUGUAUUGUAAACGAACUGUAUUCAUUUGAAAAAUAAAUUUUUUUUGAAAUGCA